rnacentral:piRNA from 1 species
UAGCUAAUGACAGGAUCCAGAAAGUGGU